GCUAUCUGAAGUGGAUAUCCUGAGUGCCUGCACCCCAGGUAGCUGUUUGGAAGUAGAUGACGAAGUCGUCCGGUUGUAGCCCAGGAGACCUCUGUUGGGGCUAUUCCAAGCCACUGGGUUUCUGAGAUCAUCAAGAUGGCACUGACAUUUCGUGCUAGAAAAUGCUGUGUGGAAAACAAGGCACUACAGCAAGUCUGACUGUAUGGCUUUUGAUGGGGAGAAAGAGAGGACCAGUAGUUUUUGAAGGAAGAGGCCCUUGAAGGAAGAUUCUUGACUGAAUUCUCCACGUUUCUUAAAGAAGAACAGUCGUAACUAUGCUGAAGGUAGGCAGAAGAGGGUUUAAAGACCUACUCAGGAGAUCCAAGAAUGUACAAAUGUCUUUGGCUAAAGUGAGCCCUAGUUAUUUUGAAUUACAGUCUUCCUAAAAGAAAUAGCAAUCAUCAUUGUCUACACCCUAGUAAGAGCAGACAGCACAGAGAGAAUGAGAGAAAAUGUAAUAUGAAUUUUAUUUUUAAUAAAUCCAGGAAAAUUAAAUAUCAGUUUUGGCCUGAAUCAAUUCUAUUGAGUUAUUGUAAGGUGGGUGGAAUUGUGAGCAAUUGUAAACCUUUGGAUUUCAUGGGAUAUAUUUUUAAUUUUAAUAUCCAUAAAAGAAAUACAGCAGAUAUACCAGCUGUGUGUGCUAUGCCAUUAUGCCUCAGUGCUUACCUUAAGGAGGGGGAGUUUAUUCUCUAAGCCUACUCAGUACCAAGAUUGUUAUGGUAGUAUCUAUCGUAAUAGAAGUAAUACAGUAGAACCCUGUACAGCAGAUUUGUGCAUUUGGCUGAGUAAUCACAUAGACUUUGUAUAGGGACAUACUUCUGCAAUAAUUUACUUAGAUCCAAGUUAGAAUAUUUGUAUCUACCCCAACUUUAUUCUGAAAUUGAAUAAUCUUUGGCUUCAGAACAUAAAAUCCCCACGUUUUUUCAUGCUCUGUGGUAAAUAGGUUUUAAGCACUCCUAGGAAAGCGUAAUUUUGCUAAAAUGUAAGCAUGUCUUAAAUGUAGACCCUGAGAGAUGAUUAAUGAUUGUUUUCAUUGCCUUUAGUCUUGUCACUGGUGGAGGUGUUCCUAGAAUGAAAGUCUAGGUCUGGACAUUCCUGAAUUGAAGGGAGAUCCAUAUUUGAUAUUCAUAUACUAAUGUCCAUCAGCAGUAAAGUAUUCAGCCCCUUUGAACUGACAACAAACUUUGAAAUUUAUGCAGCAUUUAGUCUCUGGAAUUAUCAUUCAUUUACUGGAAAGUAGCAACCAGGCCUAGUGAUACUCUAUUAUUCUCCCUUCAUAUCUUAUUCUUGGGGAUAGUUCUUUUGGUAUGCAGGUACUGAACAGAAUGCACAAACCCCAGGUUGUAAGUGAGACAGUGAAAAUAUAAAGUACAAAUGGAGAAUAACUAUUCUACCUUCUGUCUCCCUUAUGAAGAGCAUAAACAGGGGGCUAGAGCUCUUCCAUUCUUCCUCCCAGCAAUCAAGGGAGAAGGAAGAGUGAUAUGCUAUCAGAAUGAUUGAAUUAUCACAGAUUGUAUCACUGUAAUCUUGUUGUAAAAUAUUCAUUAUAAUACUGUACCAACAUUCAAAGAGCUGUUAAGCUGCAAAACAAAUCGGAACACCACACAGUGAAUAAUUUGUGCUUUCCAUUGCCCUGUGUGAACAGUUUUUCAGAGAGAAAAAGCUUUUCUACAAUAGCUUUGGAAGGGAAGGCGAUUCUUAAAUAACAAGAGGAGGAAAGACAGUUCAGAGCUGUCCAUUACCAUCAUAUAGAAUCCUAACAACUGCUGCUGACUACCCAGGUGUCUAUGCGAAGAAAUUAAACAUUAGUUUCAGGUUAACAUAGAUUUUAAAAAUGCAAACUGUUUUUAAACUGAUUAGUGAAGCAAACAUUUAUUGUACCACAAGCAUCUUUGAUAUGUAUAAAUUGUAUAUUAAUAUAAACUAAAACAAAUAUAGUAUUACUCCCAAAAGAAACUAUUUCAGUAUAUAAGUAAAUGAAUGUAAACACGGUACUUAUAAAAGAUGUGUGUACACAUAUAUUUUUGUUUAUACAUAAGUAGAAAGAGUGUGAAUGUGUACCUUUGAUUCUAGUUAGUUUAGCUAAGUCAAGUCCAGAAAGUUGUUACAUAGAACUUACUGCUAUUUCAGAUUUCUUUAUGAUUAUGAAAAGCUGAAAAACAAAAAAGUGUAUUAUUUAGUUUCAUAAAAUAGUGCACAUUUUUAAAGGCAAAAGUUAGAAAGAUCUUUUUUCAUUUUACAGACCAAAUGGGAAUGCAAAAUACCACGUAGUGAAAAAAUUUCACAGUAACUGGUGUUCUGUCUCGGGUGGUGCAUCUCCUUAAUAAGGUAAAACUGUCCGUGCACUUACAUGCUGAAACUUCCUUUUCAUUGAUUAAGCACAUGUAGGUUAAAUUUUCCAAAAUGUCAAGAAUUCUAUUUUCGAAAGUAGCUUAGACCCUUAACAUUCCACAUCUCAUAGAAAAUUCCUGCAACAUAGACUCCCACCUGAUUAAGUCACAUGGAAAAAAAAAAAGAUUUACUUUGGUUUCUCAGUCAUUAGGACAUUUUUAUUUUAAUCUUUUGAUUGUAGUCCUGGUCCUUACCCCACAUGAAGGCAGGUUCAAAUCUGAAUUAACAUUAGCAUUGUGCUAAAGGGGACAAAGGAAGUGAGUGGAUAAAACAGUUGUAGUAUUGCAAAAAAUGACUCUUUUCAUAAAAAGCUCAGAGUGCUGUAUUUCUCAUUUUGCUUCCUAUUGGCUUGUAAUGUCUACUGCAGUUAGAGAUCAAACAGUUGGAAGACAGUAGAACAAAAUAAAUAAUACUUAAUUUUUAUAGUUAUGUUUAUACCUCUUUCCAAUUUUUAAAAGAUUUUUGAACGACCAUAGAACAACAUGAAGAAGGAAAAUGUAACGAUAAUCUUAAUUUGGCUUUUUCAUCCCAAGCCAUUUACAGCUUAAACUUUUAUUUAGCGAAAAACCAGUUUGUCUCUGCUAGCUCUGGAGUAAAUGCUACAGCUAUUUUAGAGUAAGCAAUAUGACUCCUGAAAAAUUGGAACGAAAAGGGAAAUAACCACAUUUAUUCGAAAAUCUGGAAAUAAUUUAAACAGGUAAAAUGAAACUGCUACAAUUGGAAUGCAGUACUUUGGUGAAUGGGGAUAUUAAUGGCUGGAGAGGCCGGGAAUUUAGUAUUAUAUCCUAGCUGACUGUAACAGGUAAUGCCUUAUCAGUGACUGUACUAUGACUAAUAAUAGACUAGGAUCACAUACUUCAUACACUAUCCAAAAUUCCUCAAAGCUGUCUAACCAGGGCUUUCUUUUAAAAAUUUAUAGAGACUUUUAGAACUAGAAUCUUAUUUGUUCUAAUUUUAGAUUGUUUCUACGUGUGGUUUUAUUUCAGGCCGUUAAUCAUAACUAUUAAAGUGAGAAUGAUCUUAUUUUUCCUCACUAGUAAAAGAACUAAUGAAACAGCUACUGUCAACAAUUUUACAUGAGCUGCAUGACAAGUUCUAGUUUCCACAGUGAAGUCCUUUUUCGUUGUCAAGUAAUACUAGAAGGAAAAAGUAAAAUAUUAGAAUUAGGCCUUCACUUCUGCAGAAAACCUACAACAUACACAGAAAAGAAAGGUAAGAGUGCUGGUAACCACUCAUAAAUUAAUUAUUGACUUAGCUCAGCUUGUUUCUGUGUAAAUACAAGAAAAUUAGUGCUUGAUAUUGCUAUUUAAUCUUUAUCCAUAUCUGAUUAUCAAAAUUAAAAACAAUUAUAUCUAUAAUACGCAAAUGACUGAGGGUUUUUUUGGCCAUAGGCCUCUUAGUUUUCAUUGAAAGAGACGGUUUAGUUCUGAUAGAGAAGAAUAUUUGCUGCCACCUUCUGGAGUUUAAUAUUACACAGCUUAGAAGAAGGUCUUACAAGAUGAAGCUUGGCUUAUGUGUGGAUAAAUAUUUGAAAAACAAGUGCAAAGGUAGUCCUAAUUUCUGACCUUGUGGUUCUGUAUGAGCAACGAAACCAUUUUAGAUUACUAUGAAGUAAAGGAGAUGAGCUAAUGAUCUUUUUCUAAAAUCAAAGAAAGUAAAUUUUGACUAUAUUGUAAUACUUGAAGCUCGCUGAACGUUUCCAGACUGUAAAAUAAAUUAUAAUUUUCUUAUCAAAUCAUUCAAGCAAAAAUGUUCACUCUUGGCUUUUUCUUAUUUAUUUCAUCCCAAAUGGUCUGACCAUUUCAGGUCAUUUUAACCAAAUGAACCCAAAGAUUUUGACCAUUUCAAAGAACCAGAGCAGGGAAAAAUACAUGGCAAUGCCAAAAAAAUUUAUCAUCCUUUUCCUUGAAAAGUGGUAGCACGUCAUGCUUUAGGAUGGGUUUGAGACUAAUCUGCAUAUCUGAAGUGUUUCAUAUUUCCAUGCAGACUUGCCUAAGUAUAUUCAAGUUGAGAGCCUUUCAGAAACUGUAGUUAAUAUAGGCUCAGUGGGAACAGUAUGCUCAACAGGAACACCUUACAAUUUACCACCUGGUUCCCAAGAACUCUGUAAGCACUGAUAAUAUUCUGUUAGGCAGCAGGACCUUAUCUAGAAUUGCAGCUCUAAGGCUGCUAAAGGCUCUGGGGUAUCUGGGCGCUGCACAAGAGAGCAGGGACACUGUCUUUCUUUUGCUUUCCAUACCUGCCUAAAUUGCAGGCAUACUCCCACAGGCAGGAGAAAUCACUGCAGCAUACCACAGGUCCUGCACUGCCUGCACAGCUGGGUUUUCUUUCCCCAAAUACUAGUUUCUGCAGAGGUGUGGUGCAUACCCAAGUGUCUUUCCAGCAUGAGCUCAGGACAUCAGGCUGCACACUCGCUGAUCAAGACUGAGAUGCACUGCAGAGCAUGCCCACCCCGUCACAGAGUCAAAGACUUCCUGGCUGGGCCCAGGCAGCCUGAACGAGGAAGGAGACUUUCAAGAGGGUGGUAGAAACAGGCAAUGGAAGAAGAGAGAAAAGAAUGGACAAAGGAGAACUAGGAGUUGCUGAUAUUUGAUACAGAAGGAAAAACUGUAUGCAAGACUGGCUUGGAAAGUGAUGAGAAUAAGACCUGAUGGGCAAGGUUCCUGAGCUUGGAAGAGAAGCUUUAGAAAUAGAAAAUUGACUUGUGUACCUGGCAAUGAGGCUAUGAUAAGGAGAUAGGACUGAAAAAAAGAGAUGAUGACAUGAGGCAAUGGAAGUAUGUUUGGGGAAAAGAGCCUGUGCCCACUACAGUACACUUUCCUCAGAGCUCCAGAGAAAUAGGAGUUUGUCCUUCCCUGAGCUGACUACUGUCAGAAAAGACUGUGAAACCCCACUAGGAACCUGUGCUGUCCUCCCACUGCCAAUUCACAGGUGUGAGGUCAACAUGAAAUUGCUGCCAGUUGCUAUACUAACUCAAAUGGCAGUUCUCCCUGAUGGUUCCUCCCAUGCUGGAGGGCCCUCUUAGUUACAGUACGCUCUGUGGUAAUAUUCUUGGGUUUGGUUUAUUCUUCUGAAAAAUCUUUGGGACAUAAACACACAAAGCUACCUUGAAGCAACGUAAGUAAAGUUGGAAAGUCGAGUAUUGAAAAGUUAUGAAAUGCAAGCAUCAUUGCCCAGUGCAGAUGAAUUUAAUUAAAUUGCAGGACCUCUGCCCCAUCCAGAGCAGAGUCAGGGCUUCAUUUAGAAAGUGUUAGGAUUAUAUAGUAAAAAAGCAUAUUAUGUGGGAGACGCUUGCACCAGUUGGAUUUCGUAGCUGGUCACAGAGGAUUGCCUUUCUGGGCUGCCGUCGGGAGAUCUGUGAUCUGUGAAUGCUUGCAGACUGGUGUUAGUGGGAAGCAUAGUUUGAUAUAGUAACUACUUCAUAUACUACUGGACUCUAAAAAUCCUAAGUGCCUCAAAUUGGACACCCAAGGCUGCUAAGUGUCCUAACAUCAAUGCCUCACUCUUAUGCAUACUUUUCCUAUUUGUAAAAUGCAGUAGUGUAAAAAUGAAUUACUGCUUCCAAAUCACUUGGAUACUAAGCAGAAAAACAUGACGAAAUAAAUAGUUCUGCAUGGAGAACAUGCUUCAGAAAGUGUACAUUAAAUAAGGAGCAGUGCCACACACAGAACAAUGUCAAAACAAAACAGUGAAGAGCUAUUCCUCAAACGAGCAGUACCAUUCUGUGCCUGAAUGAGUCAGGAGUCCUAUGGAAAAAAAUAGCAAAUGAUCACAUGAUUACAGGUGGUAUUGUCACACAAAUGCCUGAGGGGGCUGUGUGUGUGUGUGUGUGUGUGUGUGUGUUUGUGUUUGUGUAUACAUAUAUAUAUAUGUAAAGGUCAGGUCCUUGCCUAAAUACUGUUCUGUAGCAGUUCCAAGUCUGUCAAGUUUCUGAGUCAAGCCACCUCUCUGAAAGUAAUCUUAGACUGAGAAGAGUUUUUAAUUUUGUGUAUCUGAGGUGCUGACAGCUAUGCAACAGAGUACAGCACAAGUGCAGAUACACGUCACCAUAAGAAGUGUAGGUAUCUGCCUUGCAUUUUGUGGCAUUGUUGGAAUUUUUAAUGGUAUGCCAUCAUGAAAAGAUAUGCUUUUUUCAGUUGUCACAACUCUGCACUGUGCGCUAUCAGCUGAACAAGCAGCAAGGAAGGAUCUGAGAGCCUUUUCUGAAGAAACUUACAGCCCAAUUUAGUUUGUAAGAAAGGCUCAGGUAGCAUAGCUAGGGCUGCCAGAAAUAUCUUUACAUAUCCAAAUGUUUACUUAACCAAAGAGAAUUAAACUGCAGAGAGAUUUUGAGGUUCUCUUAUUGCCACAUUUCAGGCUAUUUAAGGCUGCUUAGGUUCCAUUUUUAGUCAUAGGCCUGAUAGGAGAAAAUUGCCAAGAUUCUAGGAAGAAAACUAAGUGCACCCUGAUGCACAUGCUUUGCUUUUGGUCAUGGCAACAGAGCCAUAUACCAGCAACAACAUGUACAAUGAGACUUGAAGAAGUAGCAUUCUCACAGAUCAAAGAAAAAAUCACUAGCAGUUACUGACAUUUUCUCAGUGAAAAAUGUAAGUAUAGUUUCUCAAAAACUUUCUUAAAAAUGAGAACAUUUGUCUGCAGAUAGUUACUGUAAAGAAACUUCCGCUUCUGAUAUAAAUAAACUGAAUUCUCUGUUCUGCAGUCAGUUAAAGCUCAUACUGAAAUCAAUGACCGUUGUUGCUCAGUGUCACCCUUUGUAAUCGAACAUGUGUUGCUGUGGUUGGGAUGGUAUUUUAUUUCUGUGUUGUCCCCCCUUUUCUUCUGUUCGUUCUACAUUUAAAAAAAAAAAGUCAAAAUCUAUCCUUUGAGAUAUCUGCAUAGAUAGAAUCAUCAAAAAUAGCCAUCUGUCUGUUCAGCAGUUUACUCUUUACAACUCUUUAGAAAUGACCUGGAUACUCUUACAGUAAAUUAUCUUGCAGUUGCCUGGGAGCAUGAAGGGUUUCUCCCUUUUCAAGAUUUCUAUCUCAAACUAUAUAAUAAGAAUCAAGAAUUCUUGUCUGAAAGCACUUACUGCUGUUUCAUUGAUUACCCCACAGAGCAAGCCCUCAUCCAGAAAGUACUGAACCAUCCGUAAGCACAGGUCAGUAAGUAAUUUUACUCAUAGCUGUGUUUACUCAGCCUAAGGGAAUGUACAGUUACUAUUAUAUCAUACUACCAUGUAAGUUCGUGCAGGUCUUAUUCCUAGACUUAACAUGCAUUGAAAUGAAAAGCAGUUUGUCAAGAUUGUUACAAACAGGAAUAGAUUUUUUCCUCUGAGAACUGCAUAGAGAACCGCAAGUGCUUCCUGUAGUAAGUGUCCAACCUGAAGAGCACUUGUUAAACAUAGCUCUUGACAGAUUCCAACUCCUCCCUUACUAUGUAAUUCCAUGCAAAGGUAAUGUUUACUAUAAAGUAAGAACAGUCAUUGUCAUGUGUACUGUGAAGCUGUAGCAGUGGCUACCAAGUGUAUUA